rnacentral:rRNA from 1 species
CCUACGGGAGGCAGCAGUGAGGAAUAUUGGACAAUGGGCGCAAGCCUGAUCCAGCCAUGCCGCGUGCAGGAUGACGGUCCUAUGGAUUGUAAACUGCUUUUGCACAGGAAGAAACAACGCUACGUGUAGCGUCUUGACGGUACUGUGAGAAUAAGGAUCGGCUAACUCCGUGCCAGCAGCCGCGGUAAUACGGAGGAUCCAAGCGUUAUCCGGAAUCAUUGGGUUUAAAGGGUCCGUAGGCGGUUUAGUAAGUCAGUGGUGAAAGCCCAUCGCUCAACGGUGGAACGGCCAUUGAUACUGCUAGACUUGAAUUAUUAGGAAGUAACUAGAAUAUGUAGUGUAGCGGUGAAAUGCUUAGAGAUUACAUGGAAUACCAAUUGCGAAGGCAGGUUACUACUAAUUGAUUGACGCUGAUGGACGAAAGCGUGGGUAGCGAACAGGAUUAGAUACCCUGGUAGUCCACGCCGUAAACGAUGGAUACUAGCUGUUGGGAGCAAUUUCAGUGGCUAAGCGAAAGUGAUAAGUAUCCCACCUGGGGAGUACGUUCGCAAGAAUGAAACUCAAAGGAAUUGACGG